CCCAAGCAUCAAGAGAGGGGCCCUCGCCCCCACCAACCUGCCCAACCCGGCAAGGUGGUCGUCCUUCGGGAGAUGUGGCCGAUCCGGCAACAAACGGGUGCAG
rnacentral:ncRNA from 1 species